rnacentral:lncRNA from 1 species
CAUGAUGGUGAACUAAGUGACACUUUUAUCCAAAUAUAUCUAUAACCACUGAGAAGUCAAGACCAGUGUACAUUACUUAUACGAAAUACGAACUUAAUGGAACUACACUUCAAGAUAAAAAUUGAUUAUAGUGUGAGACAUGAAAGAAAAGAUAAAAGUAGACCCGAAGGCCCUCUGAAGUUCUUUUAAAAGAAGAUUUACCUGUUAUCUAAGUGCAGCUUUACUAUUGAUACUAGUCUGCGAAUCUACAUUUUUUUAGAACUAUUUUGUUUUUUUUGUUUUUGUGUUUUAUAAAUUCAGUAGUCAUUCAUACUCAUAAUUAGUGAUGUGCCGGAUCGUUAAAAGUGUAUAUCCGUGGAUACGGAUCUAAAUACAGAUAUUUGGUGUCAAGAUCCGCGGCUACGGAUACGAAUCUGUAUUUUGCAUUGCAUUGCGCGGGAAUUACUUUUGUUUAUGUUUUAGGCCGCGUAGAUAACGUUUAUGAUUUUGGUACAAAAGUUAAAAUAAUUUGUACUAACAACUUUCGUAGUGUAAUUUGGAAUUAUUUUAACGUAAUAAAUAAAAGUUGGAUCUGCAGUGUAAAAUUUGUGACAGAAAGUAUUUCCGUAGGGCAAAAUAAAAAAAAAUCAUUUACAGAGGAAACAUAGUGAAAAAUAUGAUUUACUCUUGAAAGAAGACUCCGCUAAGAAAGAUACCGAAAGCAGACGAAAUAGGAUCACACAGUAAUGCUCGAUUUCCAUCUGGUAAUCUAUUACCUGGCUGGUCAGAGUAAUUUUAGCGGCACUCGGCCACGGCUGUCGAUCAUCAUAAUCAUAGUUAUCACCACUAGUUACAAGUAGUGUAUGUGUACUGUUAAUGUACUUGUGUAGUGUAGUGUAUGUGUUAGACUAUCUUCAUAACACACGAAGACAUUUGUAUCGCGGCUUUACGAGCCCUCCGAAGCAAAAAGCAAGUGACAAAGUUUUACCAGAUUCAAACAUGAAUUUGAAAUCUUUAAUAGUUCAAAAGAUCUCUGAAUCUCAGUCAAGCAUUAUCUAACUGUCAUCGCAUACUGUCUUUGCACUUACUAUGUACACAUGUUUGCAAAUAAAUUUAUCUUUUAUCUUUAUUAUUAUCACUAAAAGUCGAGAAGACCUAAUCUCCAACAUUUGGCAGGACUAAUGAGAGAAAGUAAACAAUUUGUAGGGAGAUCAAGAAAAACGCGUACGGGAAAGAGCCCCAAGCAAGUACCGACGCGUUCUCCCAAGAUUCGGCCCUCGCGACCGACAGGUUGCUACGGCCAUGGGUUGGUAGUGGGAUUUAUUAAUAGUGUUCGAUUGAAGAUACAUUUAGAAGUGUACUAGUGCAACGUUUAAACCAAACACUUAUGUAUAAGUUUAUUUUCUUGAUUAUUUACAUUGAUUUCUCUUUACUGAGAUACGCUUUGAGCAUUGAAGGUGUUGGAUUUAUUUUCGGAAAUUAAGUUGUAAGUUGUCAAGAAUGGACAUAAUGUUUAUGAUAAUAAUUAAGAACAAAAAUUUUAUUAAAAUGUGGCAACAAAUAUUAAAAAGUUUAAAUCUUCUACAAAUCUAAAAAUAGAACUACACCUCAUGGUAAGUUUCUUUCAUAGUAUUUACAUACUAAUGAAUAUUUAUUUUCAGAACUUAUUUCUCGUUUCAUUAAUCAGUUCUUUUCAGAACUGUAUCAAGUUUCUACUACGUCUUGAAACUUAAUAUCAUAUCGACUAUUAGUACUUGAAUUGUAAUGAAAAACUAAAUAAUGGAGACUGGUUCAGAAUACAAUCACGAUAUUAUAAUAAGUAAUACUCGAAAAAAUUCAUAUGAAGAAUAAUGCAAAUGAUAUGGAGUCAAUUCCAGAACUAUUCACAAUAAAACAGUUCUUUUCAGAACUACAAACAGUUCUUUUCAGAACUAAGAACAGUUCUUAUCAGAACUGUGAACUGUUCUUUUCAGAACUAUGUCUCGUUUCUAAGUAUAGUUCUAUUUAGAACUAUUAUUUCUUGUUUCUUGGAUAAGUCUAGAGGAUAGUCUACGUCUACGUUUCUACUUUUUACUAUUUUGU